rnacentral:rRNA from 1 species
UGCGUAGGCGGAUUUAUAAGUCAGUGGUGAAAUCCUACAGCUUAACUGUAGAACUGCCAUUGACACUGUAGAUCUUGAGUACGGUUGAGGUGGGCGGAAUGUGUCAUGUAGCGGUGAAAUGCUUAGAUAUGACACAGAACACCAAUUGCGAAGGCAGCUCGCUAAACCGUAACUGACGCUGAGGCACGAAAGCGUGGGGAGCGAACAGGAUUAGAUACCCUGGUAGUCC